ACUCCUACGGGAGGCAGCAGUGGGGAAUAUUGCACAAUGGGCGCAAGCCUGAUGCAGCCAUGCCGCGUGUAUGAAGAAGGCCUUCGGGUUGUAAAGUACUUUCAGCGAGGAGGAAGGCAUUAUGGUUAAUAACCACAGUGAUGACGUACUCGCAGAGAGAC
rnacentral:rRNA from 1 species